rnacentral:lncRNA from 1 species
AACAUUUCAGGGACGUGACCAAGCCGACAGGUUUCUCAUGAGGGGUGCAAGUUGAUUUUUUACUCAUGUCCUGCACUCACUUCCCUGGCUGCAGGCACCCAUUUGAGGCAUCCUGACUCCCAUUAAACUCCUGAAGAACCAGAAACGACAAUAUGCUUUCUUACUAUGGUCAUAAAACUAAAGGUUUGGGAUGGUGGUGUAUGUUUUCUUCAGGAGAUGUAAGAUCCAGAUCAGCACACACACAAGACAUUUUUUCAGACAUACAAAUCUCCUUCAUGAAAAAAUCAUUCUUAAAAUGAGAAAAAUACAUUCUUAAAGCCCACAACUGUGCAAAUACAAUUUGUAGAUGAGUUUUGUCUUCAAUAGUACCUAAAUUCCCUUUACUUAUUUUCCAAUUGAAUUGUCCAUCAUACUGAAAAGAUUGAUGUCUCCAGCUCCACGGAUACACCUGUGGUAUGAACAAGCAAAACAACAGCCAGCUUGAUUGAUGUACUAAAUCAAUUCAAAACAGUUUAUAGAGCCUGAGAACAGUGAGUGUUAUGAUUAGCAGUUAAAACAAGGAAGAUCAAAGAAUCAUAGAAACAUAGAAUUGCUUAGUUUGGAAAGGACUUUAAAGAUCAUUUAACUCCAACCUCCCUGCCAUAGGCAGGGAUGCCACCUACCGGAUCAGGUUGACCAAGUCCCCGUCCAUCCUGGCCUUGAGCACCUCCAGGGGUUGGGCAUCACCACAGCUUCUAUGGGAAACCUAUUCCAGUGCCUCACUACCCUUACAGUGAAGAAUUUCCUUCUAAUGUCUAGUGUAAACCUUUUCUCUUUAAGAUCAUUCCCCAUUGUCUAUCUUUAUCUACCUGAGUAAAGAGUCCUUCUCCAUCUUUUUCAUAAGACCCCUUUCAGUAUUGAAAGGUCGCAGUGAGGUCUCCCCAGAGCCUUCUCUUCUCCAGGCUGCACAUCCCCAGCUCUCUCAACCUUUCUUCACAGGAGAGGUUCUAGAGCCCUCUGAUCUCUGAUCAUCUUUGUAGCUAUUGUAGGUAUCAGCUAUGCUAU